rnacentral:rRNA from 1 species
CCCCUAGAUGUUCUGGGCCGCACGCGCGCUACACUGAACAGUUCAACAAGUCUUAACCUUGGCCGAUAGGUCUGGGUAAUCUUUGAACGCUGUUCGUGAUUGGGAUAGACCUUUGCAAUUAUGGGUCUUCAACGAGGAAUUCCUAGUAAACGCAAGUCAUCAGCUUGCAUUGAUUACGUCCCUGCCCUUUGUACACGCCGCCCGUCGCACCUACCGAUUGAAUGGUCCGGUGAAAUCUCGGGACGGCGGCUCGGUCGCUUGCGUCCGACUGCUGAAACUUGAUUAAACCAUAUCAUUUAGAGGAAGGUGAAGUCGUANCA